UUAAUUUUUCUAUUCCUUUUUUUAGAAUGGUAGCCGAAGAAGAACACCAGGUGGAGUUUUUCUGAAUCUCCUGAAAAACACUCCUAGUAUCAGUGAGGAGCAAAUUAAGGAUAUUUUCUAUAUUGAAAAUCAAAAGGAAUAUGAAAACAAAAAAGCUGCUAGAAAGAGGAGAACCCAGAUAUUGGGGAAAAAGAUGAAGCAAGCUAUUAAAAGUCUGAAUUUUCAAGAAGACGAUGAUACAUCACGAGAAACUUUUGCCAGUGACACAAAUGAGGCCCUGGCCUCUCUCGACGAGUCACAGGAAGGACACGGAGAGGCCAAGUUGGAUGCAGAGGAAGCCAUUGAAGUUGAUCAUUCUCACGAUUUGGAUAUCUUUUAAGCAUAUUUUGGAUGUUUUGAGGAAUAAGCCUUUGUAAAGUAACAUUGUAAUAAACCAUUUCUACUGAGAUCGCUACAUUUUAGUUUGCACUGAUAAACCUAAGAAUCUGGA